UGGACUCCCAAGAUAACUCUCUGAAAUUU
rnacentral:piRNA from 1 species